UACGUAGGGUGCAAGCGUUGUCCGGAAUUAUUGGGCGUAAAGGGCUCGUAGGCGGUCCAUCGCGUCGGGAGUGAAAAGCUGGGGCUCAACCCCAGUCCUGCUUUCGAUACGGGCAGACUAGAGGCAUGCAGGGGAGAACGGAAUUCCUGGUGUAGCGGUGAAAUGACGCAGAGUAUCAGGAGGAACACCGGUGGCGAAGGCGGGUCUCUGGGCCGAUACUGACGCUGAGGAGCGAAAGCGUGGGGAGCGAACAGG
rnacentral:rRNA from 1 species